rnacentral:snoRNA from 1 species
UUCGAAGAUGAUUUCUCUUGUAUCUUGACUCGUAACGAGAUGGAGGAUACGAUUUCUCAAUAGACUACAACGGUAUCUGAGA